GAUCUGGUGGCUUAUGUGGUUAGAGCGUCCGCCUCAGACGUGGGAGAUCGUAUGUUCGAAUUCCGGCCGAGUCAUACCCAAGACU